UACGUAGGGUGCGAGCGUUAAUCGGAAUUACUGGGCGUAAAACGUGCGCAGGCGGUUAUUUAAGUCAGGUGGGAAAGCCCUGGGCUUAACCUAGGAAUUGCGCUUGAGACUGGAUAGCUUGGAGUGCGGCAGAGGGAGGUGGAAUUCCACGUGUAGCAGUGAAAUGCGUAGAUAUCCGGAGGAACACCAAUGGCGAAAGCAGGUACCUGGACCAUUACUGACACUCAGCUGCGAAAGCUAGGGGAGCAAACAGG
rnacentral:rRNA from 1 species